AGAUGAAACAAUGGCACUGACAUAUUGUAAGGAAUGUCAUUGCAAGUUAUUUUCAGUUAAGACAGCUUACACAUGCAUUUUAGUCUGGGACUAGCCUUAAGCCUGGUCUGUGAAACCAGGUAUAUAAUAGAUAUUAUUUACUUCAGUACAACUGUUAAACCUACAAAUGUCAAUGAUUUUUACCAUCUUUUGCAUCAUUGCUUUUUCUGAUAAUUGUCUUUCCAGUUUGUCUAGUUCCACCAUGGUUGUGUGAGGAAAGACAUCAUCCUCGCUGUCCACCAGCAGCACUGGAGCACUGGAACGGUUGUUAGCUGCAAGGGACUGGACCACUGAAGUCAGAUGAUUGAUCCUCAUGUCCAGUUCGUUAAGUGCCUCCAGAAUUGUCCUCUCAACAGCUGCAACACAUUAGAUGGGUGUUCACCCCAAGCUCAUUUUCAUUGGACAAGCUCACUGGAACAGCUGGAGUUAAGAAAGGUGAAGUUGUGCAAUUUAUUCUGGUUACCUGACUCCUGCAGACUUCAGUCCUGAUGUUUGGCUGUGGUCCCCCCAUCAUCCACUCUUCAGCAACCGGUCUUUAUAUGGAAACCACCAUGAUCUAAUCUAUACAGAUCUAGUUGUCUCUUCUCCCACAAACUCCUCUUUCAGGGUCCGGUGACAACUAGGGGGUGUCGACAAACUUCCAUUGAGGACCAUUAGACCACUCAAGAAGAAUUACAUCAUAUAACCAAGAUUUAAUGUUGUAAAGCAGAUUUUGGGCAGAUCUCCUUCAUUCUGCCGCCAGCUCACCAGAACCUCUGGGUGCACCAGCUGUGGAUAUUACAGGCCAAACUUUGGACACCCUAGGACAACAUGCUAAGAAGCACAGAUCUACCGAUAGCCCUCCAUCAUUCCCACAUCCAUCUUGCAACAAAGUUUCAUU